GCUUCAACUGUGCGCUAAAUUUUAGAGUUUAGAGUCAAAAGCCUUCGCUGUUGUCGUCGCGGUUAUGGACGACGACGACGAUCUGCCGCCUCUCGCCAUCCGCGUCAAAGAAGAAGUGAUUCAACCAAUUUCUUCCGAAACUACCUCGGUGGAAUCUCCGGUCGGAGUUACUGUUAUCACUGGCUACCUUGGCGCUGGAAAAUCUACGUUAGUUAAUUAUGUCUUGAAUGCCCAACAUGGAAAGAAGAUUGCUGUGAUCUUGAAUGAAUUUGGGGAAGAAAUUGGAGUUGAGAGGGCAAUGAUCAAUGAGGGCGAUGGUGGUGCACUUGUAGAAGAGUGGGUGGAGCUAGCGAAUGGGUGUGUUUGUUGCACAGUCAAGCACAGCCUUGUACAAGCCCUGGAACAGCUUGUUCAGAGGAAAGAGAGACUUGACCAUAUAUUGCUUGAGACAACUGGAUUGGCUGAUCCUGCGCCCCUUGCUUCUAUCCUUUGGUUGGAUGAUCAGCUAGAAUCAGCAGUUACUCUUGAUUCUAUAAUCACUGUUGUGGAUGCAAAAAAUCUACAACAGCAGCUUGAGGAGCAUCGCAGAUCUUCUUCAUUUCCUGAAGCAUUCCUUCAGAUAGCAUUUGCUGAUGUUGUGAUUUUGAACAAAAUUGACUUGGUUUCACAAGAAUAUGGCACUUCAACUUUGCUUGAAGAAUUGGAAAAGGAAAUCUAUAAUAUCAAUUCAUUUACUAAUAUCAUACGUACAGUUCGUUGCCAAGUUGAUCUGUGUAAAAUUUUGGAUCGUCACGCCUAUGGUGCUAAGCAUACAGCUCAUUUGGAGAAGCUUUUAGAAGAGAAUAAAUCUACAACUAGCAAAAAUCGUCAUGAUUACACUCUGUGCACACUGUGCAUUUAUGAGGAGCAACCAGUUGACUUAAAUAUGGUUCACUCAUGGAUUGAGGAUCUUCUGUGGGAGAAGAAGUCUAAUAUGGAUAUCUAUCGCUGCAAAGGGGUUUUGAACAUCCUCAACUCUGAUCAACUGCAUACUCUCCAGUGAAAGUGCACAUCCAGUUCAAUAAACACAUGUGUUAUGCCUCAUGAGUAUGUAUAGAGAUGCAUUUAAACUCAGGCAGUAAGAGAGGUAUAUGAGAUUGUACCAGCUCGCAGAUGGAGCCAAGGGGAAAAGCAAAUGAGCAAGAUAGUUUUCAUAGGUCAUAAUCUGGAUGUUAGUAUUCUCAGUGAUUCUUUCAGAUCUUGCACAGCACUGAGUGGACACUGAUUUAGGGAUUGCUUGAUAACAACUGAGGAAUCGAUCUGGGUGAAGGGUGUCGACUAAUUUGCUAAAGAUGUAAAUGUCAUUGUAGAGCAGAGAAGAAAAUUGCCACUUGAUUUUACCCUCUAGGAAAUGGAAUACGAAACAAGAGUAUGGCCAGCUGAGGCGAAGGCGUUUCAGGUGAUUUUUCUGCCAGUGAUUUUUCUGAGGCGAAGGCCAACUUCCAUCAGCUCAUUCUUCUCCACUUCCCGAACAACAGAACACUACUCUCCUUCUGCCUUUCUUCAUUUCUUGUUAUCUUAUUUUUACAAGCUAAGCUAUAUGUUGUUGAAUGAGCUACUCUUUGUUGAACAUUUUGAUUUCAACAAUGUGCUGUAGAAGAGAAGACACUGGACUAUGCGUGUGGAGCAGGGGCAGACAACAAUUCUUUGUUGGUACAAUAUUUCUAAGUCAAGGUUGAUUUGGUUAACUAAGCU